rnacentral:rRNA from 1 species
UACGUAGGGUGCAAGCGUUGUCCGGAAUUAUUGGGCGUAAAGAGCUCGUAGGCGGUUCGUCGCGUCGGCUGUGAAAACCCGGAGCUCAACUCCGGGCCUGCAGUCGAUACGGGCGGACUCGAGUUCGGCAGGGGAGACUGGAAUUCCUGGUGUAGCGGUGAAAUGCGCAGAUAUCAGGAGGAACACCGGUGGCGAAGGCGGGUCUCUGGAACGGUACUGACGCUGAGACGCGAAAGCGUGGGGAGCGAACAGG